rnacentral:lncRNA from 1 species
GCGGGCGUCGUCGUCUCGGCCCUGCAGCCGCGCCAGGAGUCCGCGCUGCACAAAGCUCUGGCGGGCGGCGCGGCCCCGGCCGCCGCUCAGCUCCACCGCGCGUUCCAGAUCCUCCAGGGCGCCUGCGGGACCGACGAGACGGGCGGGGCGGGGGUCAGCGGAGGCCAGGGCGGCCUUGCCCGAGCCCCAGCCCACCUGCGGCCGCGCGGAUCACCGUGGUUCUUGCGGCUCCCGGGCGUGGCCAUUUACAACCCGCCUCGCACCUGCUAGAGAAAAGACCCCGGCCAUGGAUGGGAGACCUAGGACAAAGAUGGAAAAGAGGUCAGACACAAAUUUUGCAAUGCUUGGCACCAGACAGCUGCUCAAUGAGGAACACAACUGCAUCAUGGAGAAUCCCCAGCAUCCUCAAACCGUUAACACCUAGAAGAAUCAGAAGCACCAGGGAAGUGAGGAGCGCAGUCAACAGGAAACAGCAUGGUCCUACAGAAAUGCCUAUGCUAUAGUCACUCUGCCAGAGGCUGCUCCAGGGUGAAUUAUAGUACAUAUUAGCUCGAAAUUAGCAUCAGAUAGCCAUUAAAAUGAUGCUGAUACAGAUCUAUCAAUAUGGAAAAUGUUUGUGAUAGACGGCUAAGUGAAAAAAGCAUGCCACCAAA